rnacentral:snRNA from 1 species
GAAAAGGAUUGGCUCUGAG